ensembl:snRNA Gm25179 predicted gene, 25179
AGCUUUGCGCAGUGGCAGUAUCGUAGCCAAUGAGGUUUAUCCGAGGCGCAAUUAUUGCUAAUUGAAAACUUUUCCCUUCAUAGAAAACGCCGAUACCACAGGAAAAUAUCAACCCCCACCCAAAGAUG